rnacentral:lncRNA from 1 species
UAAAUUUGAUUUUUAGAUCUAAAGAUCCAAUUUUCAAAUCUUAAUAACAUGCAUGUGAAACUAAACUAUGGCUCUGAUACCGCCUGAAGGAAGUUAGACUUUCAGGAUACGCAUAUAGAAAUUAGAUUGCAGCAAAAGUUAAACUGAUCUAGAUUUAAAAUCUUUUUAAAUCAAGCAUGCAUACAAAAUAUAGAUCUAAUUUAUACAUAGCCAGGAGCGUUCAUAUGAUGAAAUUAAUAUUCUAAAAUUUAAAAAUUAGAUUAGAGAUAACACAUGUAAAUCAGAGAUCCAAUCUUCAUAUCUUUGCACAGAUCGAUGAACACCGCAGCUGAUGAUCGUGGUAUACUCUGAAAUUUUUUAAUUAGUCGCACACAUAUCCGACCU